rnacentral:rRNA from 1 species
UACGUAGGGUGCAAGCGUUGUCCGGAAUUAUUGGGCGUAAAGAGCUCGUAGGCGGUCUGUCGCGUCGGCUGUGAAAACUCGGGGCUCAACCCCGAGCCUGCAGUCGAUACGGGCAGACUAGAGUGCUGUAGGGAGACUGGAAUUCCUGGUGUAGCGGUGAAAUGCGCAGAUAUCAGGAGGAACACCGGUGGGCCGAAGGCGGGUCUCUGGGCCGGAUACUGACGCUGGAGGAGCGAAAGCCGUUGGGGAGCGAACAGG